GUAUUGGAAGGAAAGGCCUUAUUUGUAGGGAAACAAACGACAAGAGUGUUGGCAACUUGAUCAUUGGUUAUUUAUUACAUUCGCUUGGCCAUGGGGCCGUACUAAGAUGUGAUAAACCAAAUGUUCAACGAGGGCUUGUGGACAAAAUGAGAGAAUCCCUCCUGCUUUCAAGCCGAUUUAAUCAUCCAAAACUCCACGCUUGCUCUUACCUCAUGAAGCACGGUACAAAGAUGAAUACUAGGAAUCUUGGCAGCUCCUAAUGCCGCCCCUUGCUGCUUACUCGAUUCGGAGCCUGACUUUGAUGGAGAGCAAGAAUUAUAUCUUUUCGCGUAUUCCGCGGCGCAGCUGGAAGGUUCAUGGAUGAUAUGCUGGCCGCGGUUACACUGUGGAUGAAAGGAGGGAGGGAGGGAGGAAAGAAUCGGUCUCAACAAUGACCAA
rnacentral:sRNA from 2 species